UCGGGAAUUGUAGUUCAGGGUUCGCACAGCGUCGGUGACCCGGGAAGAGCCGGAGGUUAGAGGGCAGAUGCCAGUUGUUCUGUCUUCUUGCUGGUUGGUUGAUGUUCCUGUAUUCUCCUACACACAGCCUAUAAACAAAACCGACAUCCGUACCACACCUCUUCCGAUGCCUGUCAUCAAGGGUUUGAGAAAUCUAAGGGCACAUUUUAUUGUUUCGUGCUGUUCCACCGCGCCUCUUAAGUGUUUAGAAGCUCCUGAGGGUCUCCGCGACACUUUGGGGGUGGGGAGGCAAGUCCCCAAAGCUUCAGAACAGGAGCCUGGUCCAUUUUGUUGGGUCCUGCUUGUUACUGCAUAUACCGACUGCUCCAUGAAUAUUUGCUCUGAAUGAAUGCAAGCAGCAGGCCCUAGUGACCCUAAUCUACCUCGAUGGAUUAGUCUACUCUGGACAUUUCAUGUACAUAUGGUCAUACGACCAUACAAUAAUGCAGUUAUUAAAUGAAUGACUUCUAUCUACCAUUGCGUUUUCAAGGUACAACAUUCAUUAUUGUUGUAGCAUCUACUGUAUUCCUUUUUAUGAUAGAAUAUCAGUUCAUUGUAUAGACACCAUUAUUGCUUUAAUCUGUUGAUGAAUAUUUUGAGUUGUUUCCACUUUGGUUAUUUCCAAUAAUGCUGCAGCCUGUUGUGGUGGUACAAGCCAGUAAUCCUAGUACUUGGGAAGUAGAGGAAUG